GACGAACGCUGGCGGCGUGCUUAACACAUGCAAGUCGAACGGUGAACCCGCUUCGGUGGGGGAUCAGUGGCGAACGGGUGAGUAACACGUGGGCAACCUGCCCCCGGCUCAGGGAUAACCCCAAGAAAUUGGGGCUAAUACCGGAUAUGACCGCUGACCGCAUGGUCUGGUGGUGGAAAGAUUUAUCGGCCGGGGAUGGGCCCGCGGCCUAUCAGCUUGUUGGUGGGGUAGUGGCCUACCAAGGCGACGACGGGUAGCCGGCCUGAGAGGGUGACCGGCCACACUGGGACUGAGACACGGCCCAGACUCCUACGGGAGGCAGCAGUGGGGAAUAUUGCGCAAUGGGCGGAAGCCUGACGCAGCGACGCCGCGUGGGGGAUGACGGCCUUCGGGUUGUAAACCUCUUUCAGCAGGGACGAAGCCGUGAGGUGACGGUACCUGCAGAAGAAGCGCCGGCCAACUACGUGCCAGCAGCCGCGGUAAAAC
rnacentral:rRNA from 1 species